rnacentral:rRNA from 1 species
UAGUCCACGCCGUAAACGAUGGAUACUAGCUGUCGGGACUUCGGUCUCGGCGGCCAAGCGAAAGUGAUAAGUAUCCCACCUGGGGAGUACGUUCGCAAGAAUGAAACUCAAAGGAAUUGACGGGGGCCCGCGCAAGCGGUGGAGCAUGUGGUUUAAUUCGAUGAUACGCGAGGAACCUUACCAGGGCUUAAAUGUAGAUUGCAUUAGGCAGCGAUGCUUAUUUCUUCGGACUAUCUACAAGGUGCUGCAUGGUUGUCGUCAGCUCGUGCCGUGAGGUGUCAGGUUAAGUCCUAUAUCGAGCGCAACCCACGUAUUUAGUUGCCAUCAUUAAGUUGGGCACUCUAGAUAGACUGCCGGGGACAACUCGGAGGAAGGUGUGGAUGACGUCAAGUCAGCAUGCCCCUUACAUCCUGGGCUACACACGUACUACAAUGCUAUGGACAAAGAGCUGCAAGCCAGCGAUGGCAAGCUAAUCUCAUAAACC